rnacentral:lncRNA from 1 species
CGACAUGGACCUCAGUGUUCUUCGUAGCAACGUCAGCAUGGUUAAGAGCUUUUGGGACAGAGCACCCAAAACAGUCUCUGUUGCUUUGUCUUCCUGCUCAUCAUGAGCUGAGUGCAUUUCUUCCUGUUGAGUCCACUGACAUCGCUUUUCACAAAUGGUCUCAACAAAUGCCAGCUUCUGCUCACUGUCGAGAACAUCACAGCUGUACACAAGCUCUUCUGCCCCCUCAAAU